UGGGGAAUCUUGCACAAUGGAGGAAACUCUGAUGCAGCGAUGCCGCGUGAGUGAAGAAGGCCUUUGGGUUGUAAAGCUCUUUUGUAGGGGAAGAUAAUGACUGUACCCUAAGAAUAAGGUCCGGCUAACUUCGUGCCAGCAGCCGCGGUAAUACGAAGGGACCUAGCGUAGUUCGGAAUUACUGGGCGUAAAGCGCGCGUAGGCCGUUGAGUUAGUUAAUUGUGAAAUCCCAAAGCUUAACUUUGGAACUGCAAUUAAAACUGCUCGACUAGAGUUUGAUAGAGGAAAGCGGAAUACAUAGUGUAGAGGUGAAAUUCGUAGAUAUUAUGUAGAACACCAGUUGCGAAGGCGGCUUUCUGGAUCAACACUGACGCUGAGGCGCGAAAGUAUGGGUAGCAAAGA
rnacentral:rRNA from 1 species